CAGUAGCCGCGGUAAUACGUAGGUGGCAAGCGUUGUCCGGAUUUAUUGGGCGUAAAGCGAGCGCAGGCGGUUCCUUAAGUCUGAUGUGAAAGCCCACGGCUCAACCGUGGAAGGUCAUUGGAAACUGGGGAACUUGAGUGCAGAAGAGGAGAGUGGAAUUCCAUGUGUAGCGGUGAAAUGCGUAGAUAUAUGGAGGAACACCAGUGGCGAAGGCGACUCUCUGGUCUGUAACUGACGCUGAGGCUCGAAAGCGUGGGGAGCAAACAGGAUUAGAUACCCCUGUAGUCCCUGUCUCUUAUAC
rnacentral:rRNA from 1 species